rnacentral:rRNA from 1 species
UACAGAGGUCUCAAGCGUUGUUCGGAUUCAUUGGGCGUAAAGGGUGCGUAGGUGGCGCCGUAAGUCGGGUGUGAAAUUUCGGAGCUUAACUCCGAAACUGCAUUCGAUACUGCGGUGCUUGAGGACUGGAGAGGAGACUGGAAUUCAUGGUGUAGCAGUGAAAUGCGUAGAGAUCAUGAGGAAGACCAGUGGCGAAGGCGGGUCUCUGGACAGUUCCUGACACUGAGACACGAAGGCCAGGGGAGCGAACGGG